rnacentral:lncRNA from 1 species
GAAGACAUUAAAUUGUAUAUAUUAUGAUAGUAAAAUGCCCAAGAACUUGCCAGUCAAGAUGAAAAACUUCUUCUAAUGGAAUCCAGCUUGAAAGCAACUCAAGAGCAGCUAAGUGAGCAAACAGCAGAAACAGUUCACCAAGAACAGAACAGUAGAAAAUCACAGACAGAGCUGAAAGAAGAUCCUGAGAGAACGUAUUAUAGCUUCUGAUGAAGAAAUUAGUGAUUACAAGUGAGUAACUGCUUUUAUAGUAUUUGAUAAACAGAAGACAUUAAAGACAGCAGCAAAUUCUUUUAAUAAGUAUUAUGUUAACCAUUUAUUUCUGGCAAGAUGUAGUGUAAAUAUGUUCUAUAGCUACUGAAUAAACUAUUAAAUCUAAAAGAUUGAUUAAUGUGUACUUUAAAAUAUAUUUUGCACUUAAAAUUAAAAAAAAAUACUUUUGUUAGUGGUCUAUUUUACUUUUGGAAUGAAAAAGAGAAAAAGAUUCUAUGGUGUUGAAGUAGAAUAAUAUUUGUUACUUCUAUCUUAAUAUUAUUCUCAUCUUCCUAUUUUUAGCAACUGAAGUUUAAAUAUGCAUUUUAUUUUCUUUAUUUUUUUUAGAAGCUGUCUCUAAGCAAGAUGCUGCCAAAUAAAAGGAAAUUUAGUGUUUGAACUUUUAGUCACAACAGUAAGGCACAUAUGAGAUUGCAUACUAUACUUGAGAAAAGUUUAAACAGAAAAAUGUACCUCUAUUCUCAGAAAAAAAAAAAAUAGUAUCUAUAAGUUUAUAAGUUUAAAUGUUAGCUCUGAAGAUUUUAAUUAAAAAAUACUAAUCUUCAACAAAUAACUUUUAUAAAUUAUAAUGACUUUAAAUGUAUUUUUAUAUUGAGACACAAAAUGAUACAUUAUUCAGAUUUUUCAAGAUCUACAGUAUGGUAGAAAUGAUUCACUACUGCUUCUUUUUGCCUUAUUGUAUGCAAACUGUUACAUAUGUUAUAUUAAAAAAUUGUUAAAUGUAGAGACAGAAACUCAAGCUGUUUUAUAAUAUCAUAGAGUGCAGGUGAAUGCUUUAUAAAGAGAGCAUGACUGAAAUAAAGUUUAUUCAUUCAGUGGUAGGUUGAACAUUUAAAGAGAAAUGUUUUAUCUCAGAUUUGUACCAAGCAUCAAGGACUGUCUCUACAAAUCUCCUCUGAGAGAAGCUUUGCUAGGUUUAGAUGCAAUAAACAUAAUGUUUCAAAAUCACAAUAUGACAAUGUUAUAAUUUGUAUGCUCAGUGUAAAUAGCUUCUAGACUGGAACUUCACUCUGUAUUCAAAAGUUUAAAGCCAAUUUUUCUGCUGAAGACUGGGAAAAUCUCUAUGGGAAGAAAAAAACGCACAAGAACAAAAACAUUGUCUACAGUAAUAUGUCUUCAUUUCUUUAAAUAAAAUAGCUUGGUGGUUUUCAACUUCUAGUUAUACCUCUAAAGACCUUACUACUACUUCUCUAGGGACAGUAGUGUCACUGAUUUGCUUUCCUAACCUAUCUUGACUCCUUUGCUACAGUAAGCUUUCUUAACCAUUUCAAGUGAUUCUUCAGUUGCCAAAAUGCCAUGUUAUGCAAAUUCCUGUAGAUAUUUACUUCAAAAUUAAAAGGUUAAAAUCUUCUAGGAGUACUGGCUGUAAGUUUGUGUGAUACAGUGAUAGAAAUGGUAGGGGAUGUGGGAGGAUUGAAACCUCCAGCUGUAUCUGAUCAAAUGUGUGAUGAAAUACAACACUUGAUAGAGCAGGAAUUUUGCAAAAGUGAAAUGAGUUUCUCUGUUCUUCAAAUAGAAAGACAAAUGAUAAACACUACAAGACUUUGAGACACAUUUCUUUCUUUUUUUUUUUUUUUAUGAUUUCAUAGUAUACAUUUUGUGAAUAAAUAAAAACUUGGAUGAAUCUGUUAACAUACAAAAAUUCACUAAGCCACCUUUUUUUCUGUUUAUAUUUGAUUUUCUUUUUCUGCUCUAUUUUUCUAUUUCUGUUUUCACCAAACUAAUAUGUUUGUUGGCUUUGGAAGUUUGUUAAUUUAGUACAUGAGCAUAAUGUAUUUUGAGUUAGGGGAGUCUUCAGGUUACAGCUCUAUAGAUUGUCAAGAUUAUUUUUAUAGGCUCUUAGGUUAAUUUUUAUGUUUAAGUUUAUGACACUUGUUUUUUAAAAGUACUGUGAUAUUACUGCACGAUUAUAGAGAAGUAUUUGUUGAAUUAGGAAAAUUAACGCUGUAAAUUUAAAAUUUUAAUAAAGUUGAAAUUAUAAAGAUAAAAACUAAGAAACAAAAUUGAACAUUUUAGAUAUUAAAUUCCCCCUUAAAGAUAACAUUUUACUGAAUACCUGAAAACAAACAUGUUGUGCCAGACAGUAUCUGCUGUGCUCUGUUCCUUGAGAGGCAGAAAGAACAAUGGAUCUCUUUCCCCAUGGGUGUUUGGGGACAGGGAAUGUCGUAAAGGUUAUGUUCAUUUACUAUGAAGGGCACAGCACGUGUUGUAAAGUAACAUCCCUUUGGUGCUGACUUAUUCGAAGUCACAUAGUCCUGGACUUUACCUACCACCCUACUUAGUGAUUCUGGCAAAUGCAGAUGGUAUCAAGGUGAGAGCUUAGGACCUUACAAAGAAAAAUGCAGUGAAGCAUAAAUUGGUGGAUUUAAACUACCGAGAGAGUUAAGAUUCUGCUAUAGCUGUUGUGACGCCUAUAAGGAGAAAAGUCCAUUUUUGUAUGCUUUUAUUUCCUUGUAAUGUAAAUGUACAUUAAAGGAUAUUUCUCCUGGAAGUGGUGUAAAAGGAAAGUACUGAAGAGCAUUUAAAAAACAAUAAAACUAGCAUUAUUUGUGCUAGUUUACAAAAAUAUUUUUUUAUAAAAUAGAAUAAAAAUAUUUUACUAACUGUACUGGAUUCUCAAAAUGCAUGUAUUCCAGGUAUAACCAAAAUUUGUAAGUAGUCACAAGCUAUGUUUGCUAUAUACUUAUUCUGGAUGAAAUAAACCUAAAGUUACACACACUCCCCCCCAGCCUCCAAUAUAAGCCUGUUACACUUGAAAGAUUUGUUCGGAAUGUCCAGUGGGAACCUGGAAAUCGUAAUAAUUUGUAGUAUCGAUUGUGUGAAGCUAUGCAGCUGGGGCCUCUAGUGAAUAGACAGGAAUAGACAUUUUAUUGAUUAACUUUUACAGUCAUAUUUUCAAGACUCUGCUGCAACAUAAUUUUCACUUCCCAGCUUUGUGCUGCUGCAUCAUGAAACUUGAAUUCUUCUCUCUUAACAUUUACCCACCUGAGGGAAACAGUAUGGAGUUGUCUCUUUUAAGCUGCGCUCUGCAGAAAUGCAUAACACUUGACACAGUGAAUUCUUCAAAAUUUACCCUCCGCUGUUGCAAUAAAAUGAAAAAUAUUAAGAAGUGAUAUUAGUAUCACCCAAGUUGAACUGCCCACUCCAUAUGUUAGACGCCAUUGUUUCAUACUUCCUAGUAAUUUUAUCCACCUUUUUUUUUAUUUUUAUUUUCUAAGGGGCUAAGAUUGUGGCAAAAAAAAUUGCCACCCUCCUCACACCACAGAUUCCAGCAGUGCUUAAUGGAGUUUGUCUCAUAAUUAAAUAGGUGAUUUUAUUAGUUACUGGAGAAGAAUAAGUGCUUCCCUGAAAAUGUGAACUAUGAAUUAAAAAAUACUCAUUUUUAAGAGUGACAGCCUGUGUCAAAUAAAAUUCCUUGUAAAAGUACAGAAAGGGCAGUUUUUCAUUAUAAUUAUCAAUCUAUCAUUUAACAAUGUAAAAAUAUGUACCAAAAUAGUAAACAGACUAGUCUUAGAAAGCAUUAUUUCACAUUUCUGAAGUUAUUCGUUUUCAGAAAAGAAAAAAAAAAGGGGGGGGGGGGGCAUUUUGCCAUUUUGUAAAGAACUGUUGCAUAUUUUCUGAUUUUUUCCCAGUAUGAUUUGCAUUCUAAAUCAGAUGCCCAAGCCACUAUUCUUUCAUGCUGAUAAAAUUGCUGGUAAAAAUCUCAAUCUAUCAUUUUUUUUUUCAUCUAAUGACUGUUUCUUUGUUGUUGUUGUUGUUGUUAUUUUACAUGGUAACUUUUACUUGAAUGCUGUUUGCAAUGUAAGUUUGAUAACAGCUUUCACAAAAUAGGACAAAUAUUCACAUACAUUGCCACUGGUGCUAAUAUGAUUUAGACUUCUGUCAUUCUAUUAUUUUUCCUAGAGAUAUUUUAUUACUAGUGUCUUCUAAGUAUCUAAAUGUUUAAGAUAUUUGUGGUCAUGUUUCCUUUUGUCCUCCCGCUCAUCAGAUACAUCUCAGUGUGCACUGUAUGGAGACACCAAAGCAGAAAUACUCGCAUAGAUGACAGAAUGUUCAUCUUGUUUGCAGUUGUCUAAACUCUUACAGAAAAAAUCCUGAUUUCUCUUAAAAAAGCAGAAAACUGUGUGGAGAACUUUAAGGUCUGAAAAAUGUGAGUAAUGCCUCCAGAAAAGCUUAAAUGGGAAUCACGCCAAGAAUGUGGGACCAGGAAAGUCAAAUUGUCAGACUGAGACAAAACUUUGUGGAAAUGGAAGAAGAAGUAAAGAACUUAAGACUUACACACAGCAAUGAUGCUCAGAUGAUUGAUAAGAAUCUGAAUACUCUGAGAAAUGAGAUGAACUUGUAUGAAGACACAUAGGAUGGUAGUCAAAUGAGCUGAAGUUUAAAUAUGAACAACACAAUGCAACACUGAGGCCUGCAUGACUGUAAGAAUGUUAGGAUAGAAAAUUGUCUUUGGUAGCAGCAAAGAUUAAAAAAAUAGUAUCACUUAAAUAAAUACAUGUGAAGAAGCCAAAUUUGUAACAAAAAGGAAACCAGUAAAUGAAUUCACAAAAGCCAGCUACUACAUAGCAAAUCUCUGUAUAAAUGGGCUGAGAGUAUGUACCAAGAAGAAGGCAAGUAUCUAUUCUUUUUCAAUGGGAAAAACAAAAAACAAAAAACAAACAAACAAAAAAGCUAUUUCAUCCUUACUUUGGGAAAAAGGCACACAAAACCAAAGCAAAAAAUGCCUCACUGACUGCAUCUGUCCAUUCUGUACUGUAAUUUGUUUCCCGCUAUGAAGAUUUAGGUUAAAUUCAUUUCUAUUAUUAAAGACAAAUAAGCUGCAAAAGAACUAAUUCUCUGUCUCCAUCUUUUACAUGUAUAUUUAUUCAUAUGAAUGCACUUUUGUUCAUUUAUUUUUACUUCUACCUUGACAAAGCUGUGCAAAAAAUAACAUAGUUUGAUUACUCAUAAUUUGCAUUUGUGUAAUUAAUAGGGAUGAAAAGGAUUAAAAUCAAUGGAGAAAUAUUUAUUUGUUUAAAUUGGAUAACUAUGGAAAAACUAUUUGGCAGGAAUGAAAGCUUUUCCAUCUAAAUUACGUCAUAUAAUUUAAACUGUUUUAGUUUUUAAGCUUAAAAAGCAUGAAAAUCACAAAGCAGAACUGGAAGAAGACACAGAAAAAUACUGCCAUGUAAAGGAAGAGCCUUCAGAACAAGGGUCUCAGCUCAAAAUUAGCUAGCUGGUCCAUUCUGGAGUGGGAAAACUGAUAAAAUGCCGCAGUACUCAGGUAAUACCCUUGAUACAAUAUGUGGAAGGGAGACAGUGUUUGAAGUAAUAUCAGUGAAUGUAUCAGAGUACUCUCAGAGAAUUUUUCCAACGGAUAAGGAAAUAUUAUUUAAAUAAUACUAACUGUAAAAUUCACUCAUGAGUGAUUGAGAAAACAUGAGAAAUAUUGUUGAAAAUAUCAAGUCAAUAUAACAGCAGCAUUUCUUCUUUUAAAAGUGUUGUGGGUGGGAUUCACCUUGUUGAACUGGAGGUAGGAAUAUUUGAAAUAGAUGUCUAAGUUCCAUUGCUGUCAUUGGAGACUUAAUCAACUCAGUGAGUGAAAUCAAGGGCUAUCAAUACCUUUCAUUACCCAAAGUGAACCUACAGAAAAGCUGGAGAGUGACUCUUUAUCAGGUAGCAUUGUCAUAGGACAAGGGAUAGUUGCCUUCAACUAAACUAGAUUAGACAUUAGAAAGAAAUUCUUCACUAUGAGGACAGUGAGAUACUGAAAUAAAUUGUCCAUAGAAACUGUGGAUGCUCCAUCUCUGGGAGCAUUCAAACGUAGGUUGAGUGAAGCCCUUGGCAACUUGAUCUCAUGGAAGGUGACUGUGCUAUGGCAGGGAAUUAGAACUAGAUGAAUUUAAGUUCUCUUCCAAACCAUUUUAUGAUUCUAUGACUAAAUAUUGAUCCAAUCAAUAUUAAGGUUUUCAGAGGAGCUGAAAAUCAAUCCCAGUGACAAUAUUAUUCAUUGUGAUAGAACACAUUCACACACCGUAAUGCAGACAUCCAAAUUUGGGUAAGAAUAAUCAGAUUAGAAAAGUUAGCCUUUUUGCAGCAAUUCAUUAUAUAAUACGGAAUUAUUUUAUUUAUUUUUGUUACUAAUAAGAGUACUAGAUGUUUCACAAGCAUAGAUACUGGUCAAUUAUCUGAGCAAUAUCCAAUAUAUAAAUACACAAAGUUAGAAGGAAAUGAUCAAUGCCAGAGAGAAAUAAAAGUUAAAAUAAUACAUGCUUUUUCUUCUGUGUCUGAGAGAAUGUGAGUAGAUGUGAAAGUUGGAAAACCAAAAGAAUUAGUAGUAUGACAACAUUCCUUUUCUACCCUAGCAUUGUCAAAAGAUAACAAGAUUAAUUCUCUGCUGUAGUAUUUCACUACAGUAGUGUGUUAAUUUGAGGGGCUUGGCUGAGCCUUAUUCAGCAUAUAAUUAGAAUUUACUGAACUUUAAUUUCUUAUCAUCUUUAGGCUGCAUUAUCAAAGUGUUUAUAUUGAAACAUUCAAAUGUUCAGUUAAAAAUAAACUUCAGUUUGUCAAGGAUACAUUGUAUACAAAUUCUGUGGAAAUAUUUGAAUAAAAUUGUUCACUUUUGCUUUGUGAGAAAUGCUUUGCACUUUACAUAUUUAUAACAUAAUGUCAUUAGAGUAUGUAUCUUAGAAAUAUAGCAAUUUCCUGGUGAAUUUAUUGAAUAAAUGCUUAUCUAAUAAGUAAUUUGAGAGUAGAGAAAGAUCUAAUGAAAAGCUAAAUACACAGUGAAAUCCUAAUCAAGCAAUUGAAAUAGUUACUCAUGAUAAAACUAAGAUUAUCAGAGUAUCAGAACACAAAUUACUCCAUUAAUCUUUUGAAUUAGUCAGUUCUUAUUUUCUGAAGCUAAGUAACUUGGGAAGGUACACUCAAGGUUUCAUCUUUCUGAAGACUGUAUUUAUUACCUUUACUUUCAUAAAGAGUUCAUUAGAAAGAAUAUUACAGUGAAAUACGUUAACUUUUUAGCCUGUUUUAAUGAGGUCAUGUGAGUCUUUAAUUAUCUGACAUAAAACUGCUUAGUUUUACGUAGUAUCUACAGAUACUAAUUAGUAUCUACAUAUAUACAUUAGUAUCUACAUCAAUUAGUAUCUACAGAUAUUAACGGAUUCAUAUGUCAUAAAGCCAGAAGAAACGCUGUUAUUGAAUCUUAUAUGUGGCACAAUGCAGGCCACAGGACUUCACUGAAUUGAGUAGUUGUAAGAGAUUAUUCUUUUAUAUGAUUGACUCAAAGUUUGCUGAGGAACAAGUCCAGGCAAGUCCUGGGCAAAGGUACAGAAAUCUUCUGUCUGGAGGACACUGAUGGACAGGUCCUGGCUAAAGGAUUGUGAAGUCCUUUAAGGAGCACAGAUGGACGAGGCCAGGGGCAACGAGAGAGGGAUAAGCUGCUGAUAAUGGCUGAGAAAUGGUCUUUUGUGUGGACUUAUCUAGAAGAAGAUGGCCAUCUCAGGAGCUACGCACAUGACUCUUGCUCAAGCACCCAGGGAUGUCACGUAGGCAGGAAAAAGAGGAGGAUAAAAGAGGGUCUAACAACCAUGAGGAGAGGGUUUCUGCCAUCAGAUCCCUCACCACGACGGACUCAAGGUUUCUGCCAUCAGAUCCUUCACUACGGACCAUAUGCUGAUGGACUUCCCUGGGCCUGCUACCUGAGACCUGCUGCUUCCUCCCAGACUUACUCUGCGGCUUCUUCCUGGACCCACCCGGUACCUGCACCCUCUCGUUGCCCAAGACCGGCCUCGCUGCUCCUGCCCUUCAGCCUCGGACCAUCAGAACAUCGUGCAACAGGACUACUGCUGGUGGUGACUAUCCCCGCUUUAUGCAAUUCUUGCUUCUUUCUAUCUUUUCUAUCGCUCGCCUUCCCUUUCCCAUCACCCCAAUCCAUAAUAGUGUCCGUCCUCCCCUUUCUUCAUCUCCCUUAUUAACAUAUGUAAUAAACUGGUCGGACCAACAUUUGAACCGUUGUUUCUUAAUCUCACGCCGGGCAUACAUAUUUCAAAGAACCUCCUCUCCCUCCUAUAAAUUGGAGUGAGACAGUAGUACAUUAUGUCUAAGUAAAUGUGAUUAAAAUGGAGUAUAUUAAAAUGGAGCAUACAUUUUUUAUACAUUCUUGACUUUAAAUAUACACAAUGUUAGAGAAUUCAUUACGGUCUUUCACAGGUUGCCUCAAUAGUUAGUAAAACAUAUAGCAUGCUGACUGUUCAUCAUUUUAGCAUCUUUCUUGGAAUGUUAUACAAAUCUCAACAUAUAUAAAAAUAGUUUUUAUGUCAUCUUUAUCAAUAACAUUUGAAAUAUCAUAAAACUGAAAGAGCAGAUAGUUUUACAAGAUGUGUUUACAGUAAAUCCACAGUAACUUUGGUUAUUAUAUUAAUGCACAUUUGUUAUAUGUAUCUACAGCUAACACAAAUUACUGUGGAAUUAUGAUAUUAGCUGUCCUGAUAUUUUGCUUGAAAGAGAUAAGUAACUACCCUCCUUGAAUUACUUGAAUCACCCUCUUAAAACCUAAGAAAUAUUAGCACAGAAUUAACAGAUAAAUUAAUCUGUACUGUUUUGGAAGUUUUUAAGGUUGUCAAGACCAAACACUGUAAAUAUGGCCUAGAAAUUCUUUUCAAAAGCACUUCAAAAGCACUUAGAUAUGUUUUACGUAGACAAUUUGAAAUAUAUUUAUACUUAUGUGAUUGCAGUCACUUUUAUCCUAAGACUAAAAUACCAUACAUUCUUCAGUUAUAAUAGAAUAUUUCACAUGAAGGGUUCUACAGAGAUCAUCAAGUCCAACUGCCUGACAACUUCAGAGGUAACCACAAGUUAAGCGUAUUACUGAGGGCAUUAUCCAAAUGCAUCUCAAGUAAUAUUAGGCAUGGGACAUCAGUCAUCUCAUUGCAGUGAGAUAAAAGCCUGUUCCACUGUUUGAUGAUAAAUAAAUGUCCAGUAUAGUCUGAAACUCCCCUGGCACAGCACAGCUGUGUGCCACUCCUGUGCAACCUGCAAUCAGCACAGAAGAUACCAGGGAGCAGAGACCAGCACCUCCCUCUGUACUUCCUCUCCUCAAGGAGCUGCAGAGAGCAGUAAAGUCAUCUUGUAGACUCCUAUUCUCCAGGCUAGACAGUCCAAGAGUCCUCACCCUUUCCUUACUAGACAUGUCUUCCAUUCUGAUUACCUGCUUUGUUGCCAUUGUCUGGACACUUUUAGAUAUCUUAAUAAUGUUUUUAUGUUGUGGGGCAUACAUUAUUCAAGGUGAGGUUGCACCAACUCCAAAUAUAUCAGGACAAUCACCCCAAAAAGCAGUUUGCCCUUUUGGCAACCAACACUGCUGGUUCAUACUGAGCCUGCUAUCAUCAGCCCUCCUAGAUCAAUUUGUUCUGAGCUGCUCUCCAGCCAUUCAUCUCUCAGUUUGUGUCAUCUCUCAGGUACUGUGCCAGGCAUAGUACCUGACAUUUACCUUUGUUGAACUUCACGCCACUGUUUCCCCAGUGCUCCAAUCCAUCCACAUUGCUCUACAAGACCUCAGCAACACAACUGACCAUCUACUAGCCAAAUGGGUCUCCAUCACUACAACACUUUGAGUUCUACCAUUGAGCCAGUUUAUCACCCUGCAUAGUGUGAACAUACUUAUCUCACAGUUGGACAAUUUGUACAGAAAGUUGCCAUGAAGGAUCAUAUCAAAGGCUUUACUGAAUUCUAGAAAGAUGACGUACGCUGCCUUCCUUCAUCCACCAAGUGGGUAAUCUUAUAAAAAGAAAUCAAAGCAAUGAAGACAGGGCUUUCCCUUCAUGAACCCAUAUUGACUAUGCCUGACAAUGGCUUUGUCCUUCAAGUGCCUUUCAGUAACACUCACUAUAAUCUUCUCCAUAAAUUUUUAGGGUACUGAAGUUAGGUUAACAAGUCUGUUACAGAUUUGUUACUUUUGUUACUUUGUUUUCAGUAAGUUCUUUCUCUUUAUUUUUUGUUUGUUUGUUUAUUUUACUUUGUUUUGGGAAGAGGAGAGCUUGUGGUGGGGAGUGGGGUUUUGUCAUCUACGUAGUGCUAUUGAAGAUAAUACUACUUUUUUAUAUUUAAACAUUUGAUCCUCAGAAAGUUUCAUCCUAUUCUUUCAUGUUUACGAGAUUUUUCUCUCUUCAAACACUUUUUUUCUUUGUAUGAACAUUUGCAAAUGAGUGUGUACAUGCAUAUCAAUGACCAUGAGUACAUGGGGCUUAUCUGUUCCUCAAAAAUAUGACUUGGUCAAAAUUACUUUUGCAUAAAGAACAACUGAAUUUCAGCAACGUAAUCCUUUCCUACUCAUAAGUCUUAAAUUAAUGUGCAAAAUUGAAUUAAUCAGCAUAUUUAAUUACAAUUUUUUUGUUAAACUUAUUUAUCUGUGAAGGUGUUAUGUAUAAUUUUUGAAAGUUAAUGGAUACAUUAUUAAGCAAAGAGUAACAGCUCCAACAAACCAGAAUUAUUUAAGUCUCUGAGGAAAACUAAGAUUUCCCUUCUGAUUCAUCUUUAAAAUCCUGUUUUCAACAUCUUUGCAAAGUUAAUUUUAGUUUUUUAAAAGCCAGGUAACUUAAAAUAAUUUUUCUGCCCUUCAUUCCUCUUUUGUUUAUCGUGUUUUUCAGAAUGUUGUUCCAUUAGUGACUUUGAAGUCAGUGAUGUUAGAUCAAAUUAUUCAAAUUACUAGCUUUUGUUGUUGCUGGUGCUGUUUUGUGGGUUUUUUUUCUUUUGUUUUGUUUUGUUUUGAUUUUCCUCUUAUGAAUGUAAUUUACUGGUGUAGUGGUUAUUAGAACAGAACUUCACAGUGUUUGUGUUUUGUCUUAAUUAUAAGUAAUUUUAUAUCACUAAUAUUAUCAGUAAACUUGUUUGUGUAUAUUUUACUCAAUGAAAUGUUAAUGCCAAACUUUGAACAGAAACUGUACUGACUACUUCUAUCUUAAAACAGACAGUACCAGUAGCUGAUUGUUUUACUUUUGUUUCCUUUCAUCAAACAACUCUAUUCAGAAGGUGAAAAUUUCCUUUUCUUCUUUUUGAUGGAAUUUCUUUUCAUUUCUCCCCUUUCUUUUCAUAGUUUUACAAACGGUCAGUUACACAGUUUAUUACAAAAUAUGUUGAGGCACAUGCCUAGAAGGUGUGUUGAAUGGCAUACUCCAUCUACUUGUGGCAUCUAUGCAUAUUAAGUUGUUAAAAGCAUGUUUGUCAAACUUAUAUGACAGUUUUAGCAAUUGUAAAAACGCAUAUUUGCUAUGCUAUGCUAGAAGAAGAGGAAGAAAAAGAAGAAGAGAAGUGAAAAAAGAGAGGAGAGGAGAGGAGAGGAGAGGAGAGGAGAGGAGAGGAGAGGAGAG